UGCGUAGGGGGCAAGCGUUGUCCGGAAUCAUUGGGCGUAAAGCGCGUGUAGGCGGUCCGGUAAGUCGGCUGUGAAAGUCCAGGGCUCAACCCUGGGAUGCCGGUCGAUACUGCCGGACUAGAGUUCGGAAGAGGCGAGUGGAAUUCCCGGUGUAGCGGUGAAAUGCGCAGAUAUCGGGAGGAACACCAAUGGCGAAGGCAGCUCGCUGGGACGUUACUGACGCUGAGACGCGAAAGCGUGGGGAGCAAACAGG
rnacentral:rRNA from 1 species